rnacentral:sRNA from 1 species
UGCGGAAGGAUCAUUGUCGAUGCCUAAAACAAAACGACCCGAGAACACUCGAUCAUCACUCUCGGUGGGACGGUUUCUUAGCUGAUCCUGUUCCACCGAUUCCGUUGCUUUAAGUAUGGUCCCAAUCUCGGUUGGAUCAUGCAUUUAGCUUCUGGAUAUCACAAAACCCCGGCACGAAAAGUGUCAAGGAAUAUGCAACAAAAACAGUCUGUGUUCGCCUACCCGGAGACGGUGUGUGCGCGGAUGCUGUGCUGCAAUAUAAAGUCUAAAACGACUCUCGGCAACGGAUAUCUCGGCUCUCGCAUCGAUGAAGAACGUAGCGAAAUGCGAUACUUGGUGUGAAUUGCAGAAUCCCGUGAACCAUCGAGUCUUUGAACGCAAGUUGCGCCCCAAGCCUUCUGGCCGAGGGCACGUCUGCCUGGGUGUCACAAAUCGUCGUCCCCCCUAAUCCUCUCGAGGAUACGGGACGGAAGCUGGUCUCCCGUGUGUUACCGCAUGCGGUUGUCCAAAAUCCGAGCAAAGGACGCAAAGAGCGUCCCGACAUGCGGUGGUGAAUACAAACUUCGUCAUAUUGUCGGUCGCUCUUGUCCGGAAGCUCUUAGAUGACCCAAAGUUCUCAACGCGACCCCAGGUCAGGCGGGAUCACCCGCUGAGUUUAAGCAUAUCAAUAAGCGGAGGAAAAGAAACUAACAAGGAUUCCCUUAGUAACGGCGAGCGAACCGGGAAGAGCCCAGCUUGAAAAUCGGACGUCUUCGGCGUUCGAAUU